GCUCCGGUGGUGUGAUGGUAGCACGCGCCUUCGAUAUGGGUGAAACGCGGGUUCCACUCCCGCCUGAGAUCG